rnacentral:rRNA from 1 species
AUUGAACGCUGGCGGCAGGCCUAACACAUGCAAGUCGAGCGGCAGCGGGAAGUAGCUUGCUACUUUGCCGGCGAGCGGCGGACGGGUGAGGAAUGUCUGGGAAACUGCCUGAUGGAGGGGGAUAACUACUGGAAACGGUAGCUAAUACCGCAUAACGUCGCAAGAACAAAGAGGGGGACCUUCGGGCCUCUUGCCAUCAGAUGUGCCCAAAUGGGAUUGGCUAGUAGGUGGGGUAAUGGAUCACCUAGGCGACGAUCCCUAGCUGGUCUGAGAGGAUGACCAGCCACACUGGAACUGAGACACGGUCCAGACUCCUACGGGAGGCAGCAGUGGGGAAUAUUGCACAAUGGGCGCAAGCCUGAUGCAGCCAUGCCGCGUGUAUGAAGAAGGCCUUCGGGUUGUAAGGUACUUUCAGCGGGGAGGAAGGUGUUGAGGUUAAUAACCUCAGCAAUUGACGUUACCCGCAGAAGAAGCACCGGCUAACUCCGUGCCAGCCGCCGCCGUAA